rnacentral:lncRNA from 1 species
AGUACAUUUGCACCGUGUCCUAGAGAGCCUCUAUGCAUUUCAACUCUGAUUCUCCUUCACCAUCUACGCGCAGCCCACAACCGCAGGACCCCACCCCUGGCUCUGAAUCUCCCAUGUCCUGGCGCCAAGCAGGGAUGACAUUUGAGAGCCACCAAAGAUGGGCAGGAAAAACAAAGGCCACCACAGAGGAAGCUGAAGGCAGAAAGAGAUGCAGAGAAAGUGGGAGAAACUCGGCUGUGCUUUGUGGGGGCCCUGCAGGGACAUCAGCUCCUGAAGGGGUGAAAGAAAGGGUCCCCUGAACUUUGACACUGUUCUUCUCGAGGCCUGGCCAGCCCUGUGGCUCCUUAGAGGAAUCUGGGUGCCUGCUGUCCCUAGUACCUGACAAGCCCCAGGUGAGAAGACCUGAGUUCACCUGCGCUGCCACGUGUAACCUGAUGGCCCCGGCACCCUCGCAGGGUUUGAAUAGCUGCCCUUUCCACCUGUUUCCCGGAUUUUCCACACCACCCAGAGGCUCAUAUUCAACCCCACAGCCUACAAGUCAGCCAGGGGCCUUUGGCCACAUGUACUGAUGAUGAGAAUCACUGGAUUGUAAGCUGUAAAAGCACAAGGAUGGUGUUUUGUUCCCCGCUACCCCCUGCACCUGAGGCCCAGCGAGGAUUGCUGCUCGGAUGAAGGAGAGCGAGUGUUCGUGGAGCUCUUUGCAGAAGCCACGGGAAGCCCUUCCUGUGCCUUCUCAGGUUUAGUCUCAGACAGCCCCACUUUCCAGAUGAGGAAACAGAGGCUAAGAAAGGAGAAUAAACUUGUCCAGAAUCAGUGGUGAAGCUGGGAUUUGAACCCCAUCCUGUUGGACUCAACACUUCCUCUGAAAAGACAGGAUAAGGGAGCUGCCUACUUCUGGCUUUGGGAACCGGCAGAGAGGAGCAGAGUUGGGCCAGACGCGUCACCUCCCAAGCUCUGCGGCACCCAAGGGUUCCCAGGGUCCUCUUCCUCCAUUUGGCUCUUUUCUUCUCUGGACUCUCCCACCUUCGAGGAUUGGACUCCUUGCAGGGAGAGCAAAGCAGAGAACAGAGGAGGCCCAUCUGAGGAGAGAGUGCUGGAGCAGAUGGAGCACAGAGAGAGCCCCCAAACCUUAGCCUCACCUGGAGAGUGGCUCCCUGCAAGCUGAGCCCCUGUGUGCCCAGAAGUGACAUAGGCAUUCAGGAAAGGGACUGAGGGAGGAAAGAAGGAGCCAUUCCUCUUCCCAGGGGCGCCUGCCCUGGGUUCCUGAGGGACGCUCCAUGUUUACAUCUCCAAAGCCCAGUCCCAAACACGCCAGAGUGCAAUGCCCUCCCUCAGACCCAGGGCCAUCCUCAGAGCAGCCGGGAGGCAGCCUGUCCACCCUUACCACAGGCAGGUCGCCCAGGCAGCCUCCUCUUAGAGCUCCUGAAUUCUGGAGCAUGAAAUAGAAAUGUGAAAAACAGGCUGGCGUGGUGGCUCACACCUGUAAUCCCAGCACUUUGGGAGGCUGAGGUGGGCAGAUCAUUUGAGAUCAGGAGUUUGAGACCAACCUGGCCAACACAGUGAGACCCUGUCUCUACUAAAAUACAAGUAAAUAAGCCAGGCAUGGUGGUCCACACCUGCAGUCCCAGUUACCUGGGAGGCUGAGGCAGGAGAAUCAUUUGCAUCCAGGAGAUGGAAGUUGCUGUGAGCUGAGAUCGCACCGCUGCACUCCAGCCUGGGCAACAGAGUGAGACUCUGUCAAAAAAAAAAAAAAGAAUGAGAGAGAAAAUAAAUACUACAAAAUGUUAACAAUGGGUGAAUGUAGGUGAAGAGUAUGUGGCAGGGUGUUUUUUAUUCUCGCAAAUUUUGUGUAGGUUUGAAGUUACCACAGAAUAGCAAAUAUAAGAAUGAUUCCUGCAGACACACGAGUGAUUUCAACUGUUCACAGGGCUCAGGCAGGAAGCAGAUCUCUUGCCCUCCCUCUGAUCCAGGUCACUUAGUCCAGUCCCUGAAAGCAGUGGAUGGACAACCAUGCCACCCUCUUUCUUCCAAUACACCUUAUUUUGUAUCCUGCCCUUUUUGUGUAGCAUUAGAUCAUGAGCAUUUUCCUCUGCUAUAAAUGUCCCCUCAAAUAUGUUGUUUCUUGUGACUCCCUAGUGUUCUACCCACGAUUUCCUCGGCUGCUCCACCUUGGUGGAAUUCAGUGAUUCUUCUGCCUUUUCACCAUUGUAAGUGAUGCUUUGAUGAAAAGCUUUGUAGGUUUAUCUGUGCUGCACCUCUGACCAGUCUUUUCUGGAAGACUCUAAGGAAGGAGACAGGGGCAUGGACCACUGGCUUUUGAAGGCAUUCGGUGGGUCCUGCCAUGCCGCCUUCCCACAUUCCAGAAGGGUGGUCCCAGUGAACAACCCACCAGCACGGGGCCCCGCUCCAUGGUGCCCCAGCAAGGCCAGCGUCCCUAUACAGGAAAAUUAAACCAUUUGCCAAUUCAAGGCACUCCAG